rnacentral:rRNA from 1 species
CACCAGACUCCUACGGGAGGCAGCAGUGGGGAAUAUUGCACAAUGGGGGAAACCCUGAUGCAGCGACGCCGCGUGAGCGAUGAAGUAUUUCGGUAUGUAAAGCUCUAUCAGCAGGGAAGAAGAUGACGGUACCUGACUAAGAAGCCCCGGCUAACUACGUGCCAGCAGCCGCGGUAAUACGUAGGGGGCAAGCGUUAUCCGGAUUUACUGGGUGUAAAGGGAGCGUAGACGGCGAUGCAAGCCAGAUGUGAAAGCCCGGGGCUCAACCCCGGGACUGCAUUUGGAACUGUGUGGCUGGAGUGUCGGAGAGGCAGGCGGAAUUCCUGGUGUAGCGGUGAAAUGCGUAGAUAUCAGGAGGAACACCGGUGGCGAAGGCGGCCUGCUGGACUGCAACUGACGUUGAGGCCCGAAAGCGUGGGGAGCAAACAGGAUUAGAUACCCGCGUAC